UUUUUGGAAAAUCAGCAUUUCAUUUUGGGUUGAAAGUCGCACGUGCAACGCUCAUGUCGCUGAGGCCAGUCUUUUCAAUUUUUUUUUCUCUCUCUCACUUUCCCUCCCCCUUUCUUCACUUUGAACGCCGUAACCGAUACAAGGUGGCGGUGGAUGCCUAUGAGGGUCACCGGAGAUCCACAAGAGCAAAAGCGAGGAGAGCUUACAGAAGAAGCGCCUUCGAGCCACUCACCAGCAAUCCUUCUCUUCCUCUCUUCACCACCACCGUCAAAAAGAAGGUAACUUCUACUGCUACUGUCAUCCAAUUCAAUGUUGUUGAUGAUCAUCCGUGCUUUUCUAGGGUUUCACUGUUUGAACAUUCAAAAAACCUAGAUUUGGAGUUUCGGGAAUAGAGGUUUUUGCUGAUAUUCUGGUCCAGCGGUUGAUUCAUUGUUACAGCUACGAUUUACGAGUGAUCUCCUUAUGGAGCUGGAUGCUGGUGUGGAGUUGGCAACUGCAUCUGUGCCACACCCUUUUCUUCCUUUGGGUGGUGCUGCUAACAUAGUAAAGGUUUGAUGGCUUUUUCAUGACACCAUCUGUCAUGGUCAUGUUAGUCGUGCACUCUCAUAUUCUGUACUCUUUGCUUGUAGAAUGUGGUUGCUGUAACAUUAACAUCAACUCGUACUCCAAUUUACAAAGCCUUUGCCAAAGGAGAAAACAUUGGGGAUGUAAUUGCUAAAGGAGAAUGUGUUGGGAAUAUUGUAGAUCUGGAAUGUGGAGAACAAUCUAUUCUCUGGAAGUAUACCUGCAAAAUUGCUGAGUGUUCCAAAUUUUAGGCUACUUGGAGGUACAAAUGCUCAAGAAGUUAGAGCAAUGGUUCUUGAUAUGCAAGCAAGGUUGUUGCUGGGUAUGGUGGGGAGAGGAAUUGCAGCAGCUUUGAUAAAUCCUUCGUCUUUAGUACCAGAGCCAUGGCAGGCAUCUGGUGAGAUGUUAUUUGGCAUUGAUCCUUAAAUAAUAGAAUUUUGAACUAUUUUUUUCAAUUUGAUCCGUGUUACCUAAUAAUAGAAUUCUGAACUAUUUUUUUUCAAUUUAUUUAUAAAUCUGUAGGAUUAGAAUGGAACUCCUUAUAAAUUUGAAAUAACAGGAGUGAACUUAUUCAAUCUAUAUUGCCACUGUAAAUUGUUUGUUCAAUCUCUAAAGGAAGCUAGAAGCUUGAGUGGUUUAUUUACCAUCUGAUCUAUGUGGUUAGCAUAAGCUUUGACAAAUUUUAUUUGCGGUUUCCAUUUCCUUUAUUUAUGAAUUUCUUUAGUUAAUUGUUUUUUUAUUUUUUAUUUUUAUAUUCUUUACAGUUUUACACUUUCACUUAGCACAGAGUCUUUUAUUUCUAGAGUAUUUUUCUAUGACUCUAAAACCAUACAACAAAUUUACACCCUUAAGCUGUGGUAUAGGCCUUGUUGUACUUUCUUGUUUUAGAUGAUUUUAGUGCCUGUGGGGUACCAAGUAAAAGAGAAUUUGGUUUAAUCCAAACAAAUCAUAUUUGUCAAAGCAAUCACAACUAGUUUGAAUUCAAUCUUUUUAUAUUUUGAUCACGAAAUAUACUCGAGAUGUAUUGAGGAAGAAUAUUCCAUAACUUUUCGUAGAUAGAAAUAAUUUAAUUUACUUUUGUGAUUUGAAUUCUUAUGUACUUGAUACUUCUAAAGUUUGUUCCUCUCUCUCUUUCUCUAAUGGUCUCUUUUUAAUUAAUACAGAACUUGAUAUUUCUUUCUUUUUUUUUUUUUUGAAUUUUUCCAUUUCUUUUUGGAUUUUAAGCUAGUCUGCAAUGGUAUUGUUUUACCUAACUUGAGACAUGGAGUUUGUUAGUUGCUUAUAUAGAAUGCUCAUGUUAGGCUAGGAGCUCAGAAACCCCCUUUUUUUUUUUUUUUUUUUUUUGUGUUGUUGUCUCUUUUAUUGCUAACCUAGAAAAUCACAACUUGUAGAUUUUAAACUUUUGUGAGGAAGUCUUUUGUCACCCAUGUUUAGUGAAUUAGAAACUGAUUUUUUUUCUCUUUUUUUGUGGUAUAUGUAUCUGCAUGAGAUCUGUUCACCAAAAUUUCAAGUCUGUGAAUCUUCUCCUUAAUGACAAGCUUGAAUUACGUGUUUCAGACUGCAGUUUGGCUCCUCUACUAUUGUCUGGUUCUGCGUGUCAGGUAAUAUUGUGUAUGAUAUUUAAAUCCUGCUGAUAUAAAAUGCUACAAAUUACUAUUAUUGAUUGAUGUUUUCUGAAGACGUUUUCAUAGGAUUGUUCAUAUUCUUCCACUACUGUAUAGUGCAAAGUCAUAUUUUCAGAUGUCUUAGCAUAUUGUAUAGUGAUGGUCUCAUCCUUCACCACUGUAGGACUGACAUAAUGUGUUUGAGUCCAAACUGACUUGAUCCAACCCGUCGACACCCCUAGAUAUGAAGACCAUUUUGUUCCUUUCUAAAUGCGGGGCCUUUCAUUUGAGUAAUAUUAUUGUCCCUUCAAAAAAUUUUCUUUUCAAGAGCUUUUAGCAGGUGCUUCAUAACUUAUUAGAUUUUUUCAAUUAAAAAGAUUUUUUCUGAAGAUGUUUUCAUAGGCUUUUUCAGUUUCUUCCACUACUGUAUAGUGCAAAGUCAUAUUUUCUGAUGUCUUAGCAUAUUGUUACUUUUUUGCUUAUGGGCAGUUUGGGUAAUUUUUUAUAUCAUAAAUGGUCACUCUAUGUUUUGUUUUAAGUCAUUGUCAUGCUAGUUCUGGUAUGUUCUAGUGCUUCCACAAGCUCAAAGUCAACUUUUGAGGAAAAGUUCCUUUCAUAGCAGUCUCAAACUUCAGGUUUGUUGCUCUUUGCAAUCUCUUUUUACAGUGUUUGGUUUAUGAUGCUGCCAUGGCUCAUGAGACUAGGAAUUUUAAGUUAUGUGGUGCAUUUUUUCAUAUGUAACUUGUAGAUUGUGGUUGUUUGUUAGUAGCAAGCUUACAACAAGGUGAAAUGGCAUCGUUGCCAUUUUAAUGGCUUGGAAGGGGUUAUUUUUGCUAUAUAAUGUGUUUCAUGGAGACAUAUUGGCCAUUUCAAUAGUAUUGGGGAAAUAUUUCAGCAAGUCAAGGGGUUUUUAGGAGGCAUGUUGUCCAUUUACAUGGUUGUGGAGUAGUAUUUUCGCAACUUAAGGAGUUUUGAAAGGGCAGUUUGGACAUGUCAUUGAAUUUCGCGAGGUACUUUCUAAUUAUUGUGUUUUUAGGGAGAAGUUUGGUCAUUUUAAGGGUUUUGGUUGUAUAGUUUUGCAUUUUAAUGAGUUUUGGGUCGGAUUUUGGCCAUUUUAAUGAAUUUAGCUACAGAGUGAAUUUUGGUGAUUUUAACGCUUUUGGAUGAGAAUUUAAGCAGUUUAAUGGGUUUAGAGGGGGCAGUUUGCUCAUUUGAAUGA